rnacentral:tRNA from 1 species
GGAUUGUGGCUUAGCAGUAGAGCGCUCACCUAGCACGUUUGAGGCCCUAGGUUCGAUCCUCAGCGCCA